rnacentral:rRNA from 1 species
AUGGCGGCGGUUUCCACUGCGGUGGCUCGGCGGUCAGUGUCUGGGCUACGACGGCGGUGGCGGUCGGCGUCUGUGCUUGCUGGCCCAUUCUCUGGCGACCUCGACCUGGUUCACGAGGUCGAGCCCACUCGGAUCUGGCAUCCUUCAAAGGCAGCAGCUCGACUCGGCCGGCUCUGGACAUUAGCCAUGGCUGGGUGGAUGGGGGCGUGUUGGAGGCGGUGGUUGUGUGGCUCGUGGAGGAGAUUUGGCUGGUGGUCGGCGAUGUUGGUUCUUGUGGAGCUCAGAUUUGGCUUGGUUACAGGGGCUGCUCUGCUUUGGUUGUGGAUGGGGAGGGUCCUGGUGGCUGUAUGUGCUGGUGGUGGGGUGUGGCCGGCGACAAGGGCUUGGAUGCGGGCUGCAGCUGACACCGAGCUGACUUCGGCUGUGCGGGUGCUCGAGGUGAAUGUCUGCGUCACCGAAGCCUCGUGCUAG